rnacentral:rRNA from 1 species
GGGCCCGCACAAGCGGUGGAGCAUGUGGUUUAAUUCGAUGAUACGCGAGGAACCUUACCAGGGCUUAAAUGUAGUGGGACAGGUCUAGAGAUAGACCCUUCUUCGGACUCAUUACAAGGUGCUGCAUGGUUGUCGUCAGCUCGUGCCGUGAGGUGUCAGGUUAAGUCCUAUAACGAGCGCAACCCCCAUCGUUAGUUGCCAACGAGUAAUGUCGGGAACUCUAACGAAACUGCCGGUGCAAACCGUGAGGAAGGUGGGGAUGACGUCAAAUCAUCACGGCCCUUACGUCCUGGGCUACACACGUGCUACAAUGGUCGGUACAGAGAGCAGCCACUACGCGAGUAGGAGCGAAUCUUCAAAGCCGAUCACAGUUCGGAUCGGAGUCUGCAACUCGACUCCGUGAAGCUGGAAUC